UGGAAUUUGAAUCUCUGUAAGGUUUCCGAUUAUCCUUCCGGGGGAUGUUGGUUCUGGUGUUACCGGCGGUGAUAGUGCGGCGAAGGAAAAGGAAAAAUGGAGGUCGAUCAGUAGGCGUAGAGAAGGAAGAGAACAACUGUGGUGUCAAUUGUGUAAAUUUCGCCGUCGACAAGGCCAUUUUUCAAUUAGCUCAGCUUCUUCUUCUUUCAGUUAGCUUCAUAGUAAUGAGGGCAAAAUGCUUGUUGUCA
rnacentral:misc_RNA from 1 species